CAACAGGUAUUCCCUCAGUAACGGCGAGUGAAGUGGGAACAGCUCAAGCCGUCAAUCUCCGACCUGCGGUCGGCGAAUUGUAGUCUGGAGAAGUGUCGUCCGCGCGACGCACGGCGGUCUAAGUUGCUUGGAACGGCACAUCGCAGAGGGUGAGAAUCCCGUCCUGGACCGUCGUGCACGCGCCACGAGGCACUUUCGAAGAGUCGGGUUGUUUGGGAAUGCAGCCCAAAGCGGGUGGUAAACUCCACCUAAGGCUAAAUACGGGCACGAGACCGAUAGCGAACAAGUACCGUGAGGGAAAGAUGAAAAGCACUUUGAAAAGAGAGUUAAAGAGUACGUGAAACCGUUGGAGGGGAAGCGAAUGCGGCCAGCAAUGCCUCGGCGUAGAUUCAGCGGGGCCGGCGGGCGAGUCGGACGUCGUCGGAUUCGAAGGAACCGCGUCGCCCGUCUCUCGCCUUCCCGUCGUUGCGCAUUUCUACCCGAAGCGAGCCAGCGCCGGUGGGAGGUCGCGUGGUGGCGGCAUCGUGAGGUGGCGGAGCCCUUUCGGGGCCCCGCGUUAUAGACGACGUCGUCGACGCGUCGUUCCACCGAGGAGACGGAAUGACGGCGGCAGCGCACGCCGUUUCGGCUAGACGGGGCUCGUGCGUUGCGGCGCCUCCGUGCGGACUGCCCGCAGUGCGCGUGGAGGUCGCCGUUGCGAGCGCGCUCGCGGUCUUAGGUGCGCUGAGGGCGCUGGCGUAGAAAUGGCCUCAUCCGACCCGUCUUGAAACACGGACCAAGGAGUCUAGCGUGCGUGCGAGUCCGUGGGUGUAGAAACCCCGGGGCGCAAUGAAAGUGAUCGCUGGGGUGAGAGCCGUGGCCUCUUGCGGCUGCGGCGCAUCAUCGGCCGACCUCGUCUG
rnacentral:rRNA from 2 species